rnacentral:rRNA from 1 species
UUAGAGUUUGAUCCUGGCUCAGGAUGAACGCUAGCGGCAGGCUUAACACAUGCAAGUCGAGGGGCAGCGAGAUCAGUGCUUGCACUGAUUGUCGGCGACCGGCGCACGGGUGCGUAACGCGUAUGCAACCUACCCAUUACAGGGGGAUAACACUGAGAAAUCGGUACUAAUACCCCAUAACAUCCAGAGAGGCAUCUUCUUGGGUUGAAAACUCCGGUGGUAAUGGAUGGGCAUGCGUUGUAUUAGUUAGUUGGUGGGGUAACGGCUCACCAAGACAACGAUACAUAGGGGGACUGAGAGGUUAACCCCCCACAUUGGUACUGAGACACGGACCAAACUCCUACGGGAGGCAGCAGUGAGGAAUAUUGGUCAAUGGACGCAAGUCUGAACCAGCCAUGCCGCGUGCAGGAAGACGGCUCUAUGAGUUGUAAACUGCUUUUGUACGAGGGUAAACGCAGAUACGCGUAUCUGUCUGAAAGUAUCGUACGAAUAAGGAUCGGCUAACUCCGUGCCAGCAGCCGCGGUAAUACGGAGGAUUCAAGCGUUAUCCGGAUUUAUUGGGUUUAAAGGGUGCGUAGGCGGUCGGAUAAGUUAGAGGUGAAAUCCCGGGGCUCAACUUCGGAAUUGCCUCUGAUACUGUUCGGCUAGAGAGUAGUUGCGGUAGGCGGAAUGUAUGGUGUAGCGGUGAAAUGCUUAGAGAUCAUACAGAACACCGAUUGCGAAGGCAGCUUACCAAGCUACUUUUGACGUUGAGGCACGAAAGCGUGGGGAGCAAACAGGAUUAGAUACCCUGGUAGUCCACGCAGUAAACGAUGAUAACUCGUUGUCGGCGAUACAGUGUCGGUGACUAAGCGAAAGCGAUAAGUUAUCCACCUGGGGAGUACGUUCGCAAGAAUGAAACUCAAAGGAAUUGACGGGGGCCCGCACAAGCGGAGGAACAUGUGGUUUAAUUCGAUGAUACGCGAGGAACCUUACCCGGGCUUGAAAGUUAGUGACGGAUCUUGAAAGAGGUCUUCCCUUCGGGGCACGAAACUAGGUGCUGCAUGGUUGUCGUCAGCUCGUGCCGUGAGGUGUCGGGUUAAGUCCCAUAACGAGCGCAACCCCUACCGUUAGUUGCCAGCAGGUCAAGCUGGGCACUCUGACGGGACUGCCGGUGUAAGCCGAGAGGAAGGUGGGGAUGACGUCAAAUCAGCACGGCCCUUACGUCCGGGGCUACACACGUGUUACAAUGGCAGGUACAGAGGGCAGCUACCCAGCGAUGGGAUGCGAAUCUCGAAAGCCUGUCUCAGUUCGGAUUGGAGGCUGAAACCCGCCUCCAUGAAGUUGGAUUCGCUAGUAAUCGCGCAUCAGCCAUGGCGCGGUGAAUACGUUCCCGGGCCUUGCACUCACCGCCCGUCA